CGGGGCGGCAGGGUAGCCUAGUGGUUAGAGUGUUGGGGCGGCAGGGUAGCCUAGUGGUUAGAGUGUUGGGGCGGCAGGUAGCCUAGUGGUUAGAGUGUUGGGGCGGCAGGUAGCCUAGUGGUUAGUGUAGGGGCGGCAGGGUAGCCUAGUGGUUAGAGUGUUGGGGCGGCAGGGUAGCCUAGUGGUUAGAGUGUUGGGGCGGCAGGGUAGCCUAGUGGUUAGAGUGUUGGGGCGGCAGGGUAGCCUAGUGGUUAGAGUGUUGGGGCGGCAGGGUAGCCUAGUGGUUAGAGUGUAGGGGCGGCAGGGUAGCCUAGUGGUUAGAGAGUUGGGGCGGCAGGGUAGCCUAGUGGUUAGUGUUGGGGCGGCAGGGUAGCCUAGUGGUUAGAGUGUUGGGGCGGCAGGGUAGCCUAGUGGUUAGAGUGUUGGGGCGGCAGGGUAGCCUAGUGGUUAGAGUGUUGGGGCGGCAGGGUAGCCUAGUGGUUAGAGUGUUGGGGCGGCAGGGUAGCCUAGUGGUUAGAGUGUUGGGGCGGCAGGGUAGCCUAGUGGUUAGAGUGUUGGGGCGGCAGGGUAGCCUAGUGGUUAGAGUGUAGGGGCGGCAG
ensembl:lncRNA